GCAAGGAUGAUAGGACUGAGUGUGAAGUUAAGAGAAUGGAAGAGAAGAUAGACAAUGGAAUACCAAUUUCAAAGCACAUCCAGUCCAGGAUACCACACUGCAUUUAGUCACCUUUUUAAUGUCUCUAAAGAGUACCCACAGAUGCUUACACUGCCUGCCUUAUUUUAGGUUUGCCUCUUGGGUGGCAAGCAGGAUUUGACCUGAAGCUGAAAAAACUCCUAUAAUCCAAA